CCCAGACUCCUACGGGAGGCAGCAGUGAGGAAUAUUGGUCAAUGGCCGGAAGGCUGAACCAGCCAAGUCGCGUGAGGGACGACUGCCCUAUGGGUUGUAAACCUCUUUUAUAAGGGAAGAAUAAAUGCUACGUGUAGCAUGAUGCCUGUACCUUAUGAAUAAGCAUCGGCUAACUCCGUGCCAGCAGCCGCGGUAAUACGGAGGAUGCGGGCGUUAUCCGGAUUUAUUGGGUUUAAAGGGUGCGUAGGCGGAAUGCAAGGCAGGGGGUAAAUCCGGGGGCCUCAACCCCGGUCCGCCGUUGAAACUGGCGUUCUUGAGUGGGCGAGAAGUAUGCGGAAUGCGUGGUGUAGCGGUGAAAUGCAUAGAUAUCACGCAGAACUCCGAUUGCGAAGGCAGCAUACCGGCGCCCAACUGACGCUGAAGCACGAAAGCGUGGGUAUCGAACAGGAUUAGAUACCCCUGUA
rnacentral:rRNA from 1 species